UCGAGUAUGGCUUGUGCUGUGCGAAUGUUCAAAAUGUCAAAUGUAAAUCAAAUAGUUGUUGACCAUUUGACUUGUAUUCAAUUGGAGAGUAGGCAAUUAGAAGUUAUCAAAUCUUCCUUUCUAUCAAUAAUUACACAUACUGGAAUAUUUAGGGAGAAAGUCAGGUGCAUGUGGUGACCAUUCUCAAAGGGAACUGCAGUUCCUGAGCGGACAUAUAGAGCAGGUGUGGCGAGCCCGGGAGACAGCAAGAGCCGCAGGAGUCCUGGACUAACGGCGCCUCCCACACAAGCAGAAAGACACCUGCUUUUCCUUUCUUUUUUUUAAUAAAUGUUUUUCCUUCUC